AUUGAACGCUGGCGGCAGGCCUAACACAUGCAAGUCGAACGGUAACAGGAAGCAGCUUGCUGCUUUGCUGACGAGUGGCGGACGGGUGAGUAAUGUCUGGGAAACUGCUCGAUGGAGGGGGAUAACUACUGGAAACGGUAGCUAAUACCGCAUAACGUCGCAAGACCAAAGAGGGGGACCUUAGGGCCUCUUGCCAUCGGAUGUGCCCAGAUGGGAUUAGCUAGUAGGUGGGGUAACGGCUCACCUAGGCGACGAUCCCUAGCUGGUCUGAGAGGAUGACCGGCCACACUGGAACUGAGACACGGUCCAGACUCCUACGGGAGGCAGCAGUGGGGAAUAUUGCGCAAUGGGCGCAAGCCUGAUGCAGCCAUGCCGCGUGUAUGAAGAAGGCCUUCGGGUUGUAAAGUACUUUCAGCGGGGAGGAAGGGAUUAAAGUUAAUACCUUUGCUCAUUGACGUUACCCGCAGAAGAAGCACCGGCUAACUCCGUG
rnacentral:rRNA from 1 species